rnacentral:lncRNA from 1 species
AACCCCCUUUCUCUACUUAGUUUCCACAACAGUGACUAGGAUGUCCACCAAUCUCAAUUUUCCUGGGACUAUUAGUGCUUCAGUUUUAAAACUGUGACAGUCCUGAGCAAACCAGGAUGAGUUAGACACCCUAAUCUUAAAACAUUGGUAGUUAGACCCUGCUGGGCAGGAGACUGGGAGAAUCUUUUCUGGGGAAUCUGAUCAGCCCAAGAGGAAAGACCUGAACAUAUGGAUGGUGGAGGUUCUACAAUGAAGUGGUCCAGUCAGAGCAACCUUGUAGUGCUGCUUCCAGUAAACAAGCACCAUCUGGGUGCGUGGAGUUUCCUGUCCUGUUUUUACAACCCCUUUCUCAUAAGCAGAUAGUGGAGUUCCCUGGUGGCUUAGUGGGUUAAGGAUCUGGCAUUGUUACUGCUGUGGCUAGGGACACUGCUGUGGCAUGAGUUCGAUCCCUGGCUCAGGAACUUCAGCAUCCUGUGGACCUGGCUAAAAAAAAAAACAAGCAAAAAUAAGCAGACAACUACAAAUUAUUAGACACUAUAAGGAAAGACUCUUCACACAAAAGAUAGAGACCAAAAUACUCAAACGAGAUAAACAGCAUGAGGGAUAAGACUGUGAUUUGAAUUGGGAUGAUCAGUCUUUCUCUUGGUUUUCAAAAACUGGAUCUGGGAGAGAGAAUCCUCUUCUCCUCUCUAGCCCCGAUGCUGUUAGAAGGUGAGUCCAGAGCUCCUGGAGGCCCUGUUCUAGGUAAAGGGAAGGCUGCAGUUAGCCAUACUGAGAUGCACAAAUGGGAAAUGGACUCAGCCUAGAGUCUCAAAGGCAUUUAUGCCAAGAUCCAUUAUCUUUAAAGUAUCUUUGCUUUUUCCAGUUUGGUUGUGUGAGUCAAUGAAUUCCAUCAGGUUUUUUGUUUUUUGUUUUUGUUUUUGUUUUUUGCUUUUUUGCUUUUUAGGGCCACACCUGAAGCAUAUGGANACCUACACCACAGCUCAUGGCAACACUGGAUCCUUAACCCAC